UACGGAGGGUGCAAGCAUUAAUCGGAUUUAUUGGGCGUAAAGGGCGCGUAGGCGGAGUUGCAAGUCAGAUGUGAAAUCCCGGGGCUCAACCUCGGAACAGCAUUUGAAACUGCAACCCUAGAGGGUAGGCGGAGAAAACGGAAUUCCACAAGUAGCGGUGAAAUGCGUAGAUAUGUGGAAGAACACCGGUGGCGAAGGCGGUUUUCUAGCUUAUUCCUGACGCUGAUGCGCGAAAGCAAGGGGAUCAAACAGG
rnacentral:rRNA from 1 species